ACUCCUACGGGAGGCAGCAGUAGGAAUUUUCCGCAAUGGACGAAAGUCUGACGGAGCAAUGCCGCGUGAGUGAUGAAGGUUUUCGAAUUGUAAAGCAUCUGUUGUAAGGGAAGAAUAGCAAGAAUAGGAAAUGAUUCUUGUUGAUCGGUGACCUUACCAGAAAGCCACGGCUAACUACGUGCCAGCAGCCGCGGUAAUACGUAGGUGGCAAGCGUUAUCCGGAAUUAUUGGCGUAAAGCGCAUGUAGGCGGCUUUUAA
rnacentral:rRNA from 1 species